rnacentral:tRNA from 1 species
GCUUAUGUGGUGUAUUAGAGCACUUAAGGUUUUCAUUCUUAAAGAGGGAUUACUUUCCUAUAAGCU